rnacentral:snRNA from 1 species
AUUGCUUCUCAGCCUUUUGGCUAAGAUCAAGUGUAGUAUCUGUUAUUAUCAUUUUAAUAUCUGAUACUUCCUCUAUCCAAGGACAAUAUAAUAAAUGGAUUUUUGGAGCUGGGAGCUGGAAUAGAAGCUUGCUAUGUCCACUCCAUGCAUCAACCUGGUAUUGCAGUACUUCCAGGAAUGGUGCACCAAAA